AGAUAAAAAUUUCAUAAAUUUCUACUAUUAAAAAUUGGUGUGGCUGACGAAAUAACUAGAUAGGUACAUAUGAUGUGUCACAUGUAUCUCAUGUCAAUGUAUAGAAACCAAUUUUUAAGAGUAGAAAUAGAUGAAACUUAUAAUA
rfam:Gossypium arboreum cultivar AKA8401 contig_4483_1, whole genome shotgun sequence.